GACGUUCCAUGACGACCAGUUACAGGUUACCAAAGAUUUUAUAGGUUCCUUUGCACCAUCUCUCAUAACUAUUAAAGACACUGUAGGCUAAACAGUAACGGUGCGCUUCCUUUCCAUUGGAGUUCUGGUUGCCAGUCCUCGCUUACGAAUAUUCCAUAGGAUUCAGACCGCAGAGUCACCUUUUUUACUGAGUGAUCUAGCAACCUUAUUUUGUGAAUGGAUCUGAUCAACGGAUCUGGGACAAAGUCAGUCUGAAUAUAAUCUCUGUUUGGGAUGAAUGGAUGAAGAACUCGUCUUUGGAUAAAGGAUUUGGUUGCUGUUACAUGUUUUGAGGUAAGUCUUGUGCAGUGCCAGAAAUAUGUACAUAAAUGUAUUUUUAACAUUAGUGCUGAAAAUUAAGUUUAAGACAUAAUAUGCCAGCUAACUCCAUAAGACAGCUGCAGAUGUAAAUGCUAGCUGCUAGCCUACUGUUGUCGGAUAUGAGAGAUGAAAACGAACACAUAAGCGUGCGUGGCCUGGAGAAUUUCCCUGUUCACAUUGGAUGGUUUUCAAAUACAGAAAACACCCAAUCAGAGCGUUUUUUUUUUUGAAAGAUAGAAAGCUGGCAGGGCCUGUACUAGCUUGCUUUUUAGAGCACAAGCAGGCUAGUAUCAAAGACAUUAGCUAACUUUUAUCAUCGUCAACUAGCAGCUGUUUAUUUCAUAUGUCGAGGGUGAAAAGGCACUUGUUUUGGCGUUAGAAGCCAACGAGAAUGCCAACGAACAUUAUGUUUGUUUUUUUUAUUUUAUUAACUGAGCGCGGUAGGUCAUCUUUUUUUUUGUCCGAAGAACUUCACUCGCGUCAUUCAUGAUCAGCUAUCAAGAAAGCACCUGACGACCUGUGUUUUUUUUCUUGGAGAGAAGAUUUGUUCAAAAACACUGUAUCAUACAAAUAUUUAAAAAAAACAUCCAAUGUGAAAAUGGUUCUAGCCUACUAUGCCACGCCAACACGAACCCCAUGAAUUCGAAAACCAUGUACAUUUUUAAAUGUCAACAAAUGCAGUUGGGUGUAGCCUUAAUGAUUUUUAGUGAUGACAUGUGCCCUGAUCCAGGCAAUAAUGUUGGAUUUAUUUUUUCCAGAUGAGGGAGCUUAAUGAGGAUGAUGCACAGUAUGUGCAGCAGCUUGAAUUAGGGCAGAAAUGCAGGUGGAGCUGGGCGUGGCUAAAAUUGGAAGUGAAGACUGAGGUGAAGGGAGUGCAGUACAGCUUCCCGCUGUCACAGUAUUUCAAAAAAAUUGACAAAGCGGGCUACUGUAAAUGCAGCCUUUGCUGCAAAGAAAUAAAUUAUGGCAAAAAGGGUUCCCAUGCUCUGAUGGCACACCGUCAAACAGAGGUGCACAAGCAAAAAGUGAGCACAAUACUCACUACCACUAGUGUCCUUCCUCCUGUUCCAGUUCCAACACAAAGUGCUCCCAAGGGUCCUGAGCUGAUGAGGGAACGAGUAAGGUUACCUGUACCUGUAUUCCAACGGGUUGCUAAUGCUGAGGUGAUGGUUCUUGCUACUCUUGCCGAACAUUCCCUCCCAUUUUCUCUCACACUAGUCAUGGUAAACCUGGCUCAAGCGCUGGCUACAGAUAAAGUGGCUUUGAGUCAACUGAAGCUGUCACGCACAUCAGCAGCCUACAAAAUUGUGCAUGGAUUGGGGUUAACGUUUUCAGACAGGAUAUUCAGCCAUACUCGAAAUUUUCCAUUUUCCAUCAACCUUGAUGAGAGUACUAGUAAUGGUGACAAAAAAAGUGCUUUCCAUCCUGGUUAGCUAUUUCAACCCUAACAGCAACACAGUUGAUGUGGAACACCUGGGCUCUUCAGAGUUAUUGAAAGUUAACGCAGUCACGCUUGAGAAGACGCUGGUUACAUUCUUUGAACAGAACAACAUCCCAUGGUCCAACCUUGUAAGCAUGCUGAUGGACUCCUGCGCUGUCAUGCGUGGAAGUAAGAUGGGGUUGGAAACAAGAGUGCGCCAGAACCACUGUCCGAACCUACUUGAUGUUGAUGGUGAUAGUUGUCAUCAUGUCCAUAAUGCUGCAAAGGUAUUUGCAGCUCCUUUCAACAAUCACCUCGAAAAACUGUUCACUGACCUGCAUACAGACCACCAAUGGGCCUCAGACCAGUUGGCGUAUCUCAAGGAAAUAUGUGCAUUCAUGAGCAUUCCUGGCUCAGCUCCUAAAAGGUUCAUUCAACAUCGCUGGCUGUCAUCUUAUGAUGUUGCAAUUAGCACCCAGAGCACUCCCAAACAGCUGUCCAUCUGAGAAAACUACUGGAGCUUAUGAGUCAUCUGCUGCCAUGCGACAUUGACGCAGACCAGGACAUUCUGCGAUACAAUGUGGACCAGGCACUACCCAGCUUUGAAGAGGGAGGGGAUGUCGUCCAGUGGUGGGCCUGCGUUUUCAAGACAGGAAAGUAUCCAGCCCUCAGUCAGGCUGUCAAGGCUGCCCUGUCAAUUUUCCAUGGCCCUCUGGUGGAGUCCUCUUUCAGUGGCAUGGGGAACAUCAUCGAUCCGAAAUCUACAUCAAUGAAGAUCUCCACCUUCAGUGCUGUGCAAACUGUGAAGUACACACUGCAAAAUAGGAAACAGACUGGGGUGGAAAUGUUUAAAAGGGAUGAUGUGAAAUUCGGGGAGGUAGACAGGAGGAUGUGUGCCAAUAUCAGUGGGGCUGGAAGUAGGGAUAAAGCCCAGCGACAGCUAAAUUUGGCAGCACUGAAGGAAAGGAGGGCUGAAUUUGGUGUCCAGCCAUCUACCAGUGCUGCUGGUAAUAGGGCAGAGGUGGUGAAGAAGGAUAGCAUGGCGUGAAAGAGGCACAUGGCAGAGCAGCAUAAACGUGCCCUUGAAUGGCUUGUUCGGGCCAAAAGGUCUAAAAAAUGAUAAACUGGUCUGCUGAAGAAAGUUUCCAGUAUCACACUUCAAAAAUUACUUUUUUAAAUUCAAAUUUUACUUU